rnacentral:rRNA from 1 species
AUUGAACGCUGGCGGCAGGCCUAACACAUGCAAGUCGAGCGAGCGGCGGACGGGUGAGUAAUGUCUGGGAAACUGCCUGAUGGAGGGGGAUAACUACUGGAAACGGUAGCUAAUACCGCAUAACAUCAGAUGAGCCCAGGUGGGAUUAGCUAGUAGGUGGGGUAACGGCUCACCUAGGCGUCGAUCCCUAGCUGGUCUGAGAGGAUGACCAGCCACACUGGAACUGAGACACGGUCCCGACUCCUCCGGGAGGCAGCAGUGGCGAAUAGUGCACAAUGGGCGCAAGCCUGAUACAGCGAUGCGGAGUGUGUGAAGAAGGCCUUCGGGUUGUAAAGCACUUUCAGCGGGGAGGCGUUACCCGCAGAAGAAGCACCGGCUAACUCCGUGCCAGCAGCCGCGGUAAUAC